GACGAACGCUGGCGGCGUGCCUAAUACAUGCAAGUAGAACGCUGAAGGAGGAGCUUGCUUCUCUGGAUGAGUUGCGAACGGGUGAGUAACGCGUAGGUAACCUGCCUGGUAGCGGGGGAUAACUAUUGGAAACGAUAGCUAAUACCGCAUAAUAGUAGAUGUCGCAUGACAUUUGCUUAAAAGGUGCAAUUGCAUCACUACCAGAUGGACCUGCGUUGUAUUAGCUAGUUGGUGAGGUAACGGCUCACCAAGGCAACGAUACAUAGCCGACCUGAGAGGGUGAUCGGCCACACUGGGACUGAGACACGGCCCAGACUCCUACGGGAGGCAGCAGUAGGGAAUCUUCGGCAAUGGACGGAAGUCUGACCGAGCAACGCCGCGUGAGUGAAGAAGGGUUUCGGAUCGUAAAGCUCUGUUGUACGAGAAGAACGAGUGUGAGAGUGGAAAGUUCACACUGUGACGGUAUCUUACCAGAAAGGGACGGCUAACUACGUG
rnacentral:rRNA from 1 species